rnacentral:piRNA from 1 species
CUGGGCACACUCUAUUUUUGAGAGAUA